rnacentral:misc_RNA from 1 species
GAUGAAGAACGCAGCGAAAUGCGAUAAGUAAUGUGAAUUGCAGAAUUCAGUGAAUCAUCGAAUCUUUGAACGCACAUUGCGCCCGCCAGUAUUCUGGCGGUCAUGCCUGUCUGAGCGUCAUUUCAACCCUCAUGCCCCUAGGGCGUGGUGUUGGGGAUCGGCCAAAGCCCGCGAGGGACGGCCGGCCCCUAAAUCUAGUGGCGGACCCGUCGUGGCCUCCUCUGCGAAGUAGUGAUAUUCCGCAUCGGAGAGCGAUGAGCCCCUGCCGUUAAACCCCCAACUUUCCAAGGUUGACCUCAGAUCAGGUAGGAAUACCCGCUGAACUUAAGCAUAUCAAUAAGCGGAGGA